CAUCGCCCCCGUCCCGCUUCAGGAGAAGCCUUAGAGCGGCUCGAGCGGAGCAGCCGCCGCCCGUGACAAGCGCAGCGGAGAUCUUAUCGGCAGGAGGAAGUGCCGAGCUAUCGCGCUGCUUUUCUCCGAACCGUCGGCUUUACCAGCCGUUUGUUCGUCUCACUUCAGAGAAGAAAUGACCCGACAAUAAAGCUGAAAGUCAAACUCAAAGGUGCUGUACUGAGAAACACGAGUACCUGAGCAGGAAAGUCAAAGGGCACCCAGGCUUUGUUGUUCUGAGAGCUCUGUUUGCAUGUGGAAGUUACUUCAGCAUCAAAAUGCUAUCAUACCUCAUGCUGAGAUGAGGGUGGUUCUCAUAAACUGUUUCUUUAGCUGGUAAGAUUCAGAUAUUCUGAGUAAUUCCUUGCCAGCAAUCAGGACACAUUUCUCUCCAGGUGUCCAAAAUGACCAAAUUCACCAAGGCCACAGCUUGCUGCCAUUUCCUGAGGUUCAUGGUGACUCUGGCUGUCACCACAGCUGUGUAAACCUGACUACAGACCUGCGAGUGGAAGGAAAACCCGGCAUGCCUCUGGAAAUCACCCCUGUGAUUCACUGGGUGUCAUUCCUCUGAGUAAGCAUUGAGCUCAUGUCCAGCUUGAAGAUCACUGUGCUUUAUGAAAUACAAAUACGUAAUGUACAUCCAAGACCACGAGUCAUGUCUGCGAUGUUCUCUGCAGCAUCUAUGUUGGUAUUUGCCAGUCAUGAAUUCCCCACCACCCUCAGUGAACAAUUAGGCUGAUGAUUACAGCUGCUGGUUGUAUUGGAACUGUUGAGUUAUGGUCUGAACCACUGAUUGAUCACCUGAAGCAAGGACUGAGUCACCUAUGGGAGCACAGGUGAAGGCUAUUCACAUUUUUGACCUGCGGGGAUGGAGCCUGGCUGCACCUCUCCUAGACUGCAUUUAAGUGCUGACUGCCAUGGGGGAAGGAUCACUUUCUGG